rnacentral:lncRNA from 1 species
UUUUUCAUUGGACCAUGGUACUGUCGGCUAAGAAAAUAUACACACUGAACCAACAUACCUUUAGCUAAACCCAUUAAUAACCCCUCAAAUACUUGACCUGUGCAUCUCCAUAUGUGGUGGAUACUUGUACUAUACAUUAUAUGGUGGUAGGAGUCUUAUCCCACUAAUGACCCACUUUAUCUCUGCGCUGGAGCAGCUGGUUGCUCCUCCAUCUCAACUGAUCUGUCAAAUUUUAAGUGGAAAUUAAGUCCCCAAAAAAAAAUAUACACCGCAUUGAUGGGACUAAACUAACAAACAACAUUUUAGAUUAUACGUAUUUAUUAUAUUAUUUAAAUAUGAUUUAAGUUAAUUAAAACUUAUUUAUAAUUAGAUAAAAUAUUGUACUUAUGUAAAUUACUUAAAAGCACUAAUUAAAAAUACAUCUUACAUUAAUUAUAUCAUAAUUUUUUAUAUUAUCAUCUCGAAUUUUAUAUUUUUCAUUAUUUUUUUUGAAUUAUGCACGAUUCUCGACAUUAUAGAUCAUGUAACAGGAUACUAAAACAAAAGUGUUUUCAUUAAUUAAAUGAUGUUACGCGAUGAUAUACAUCACGGCGUUGAUAAUAAAAGAAAGAUUACAAGUUAAGAUAUACUACUACAUAAUUUCAGAUACCACCGUACGGAUAAAUUCUCCGAAAGCUCUUGUCCGGUUAAAGGGCCAGUAUUUCAGGCACGUUAUAAAAAAAAAUUGGCCUUAUGAAUAUUAUCUUUUGUUUUUAAUCUUUUUAUUUUUUUAUCAAAUAAUAAUUUUUUAAAUACUUUACAUUUAUAAUUUUUAUUUUUAAGUCAAUUUAUAUAUAUCUUUUGAAUUUUUAAAUAAUUUUUUUAUAGUUAUGUUUAUGACAUUAUAAGAAUCUUGUACAGAAAAAUUUAAAUUUUUUAAUUAAAAAUGAAUUAUGAAUUUUUAAAUAUUUGGUGUGAAAAAACUCAUUUAAUUUAUUUUUUAUUAAAAAAAAUUAAAUUUUUGUACGAAAUUUUUUAUAAUAUUUAUAAAAAGUCAUUUAAAAAAUUUAAAUUAAACAUAUGAAUUAAUUUAAAAGCAGGAAUAAAAUUAUAAAAUUUUUGAAGAAUUACGAUUUUGUAAUAAAUUAAAAAUAAAAUAUGAUAUAUUUAUAAAUUAAUUUUAAAAUUAUUUAUUUUAUUAAAAAACGUUUAACGAGUUGAAGAAAAAAAAUAUUGUGGGACUAUUAUUAUAUAAAUGAAAGUUUGAUGAUCGUCGAAAGAAGAUUUUUUUAUAUAUAUUUUUUAUUUUAAAAAAAAUUAACUAUUAUACUCUACAUUGAAAAAUAUGUUCUAUUUUUGCACUUUUAAGAUCCAAGAUUUUUAUAAAAAAAAAAAAAAUAAGAGUUUGCAUAUCGGAGAUGCGACCAUGUACUAAAUUUUAAUUUUUUUUAAUUUAACAAAACAAUAAUUAUUAAUUUAAAAAUAAAAAGUAAUAAAAAUAUUUAAAAAAAUAAAAUAAUAUUAAUAAAAUAAAACAAAAUACAUUUAAUAUAAAAUAUACAUCAAACUUAAUGCAGUUGAGGAGACAUGCCAAAACAAAUAACGUGUACCUAAUAUUUUGCGGAUAAAGUAGCAACAUAAUUUUAUUUUAUUAACAACUCUCUCUUAUUUUUUCUUUGAUCUGAUAAAUAAAUAAAAUAAAAUAUUACUAAUUAAUAAAUAAAACAUAAAAUAUUAUAAAAAAAUUAAGAUAACACUAAUAAAAUAAAAUAUAUUUAAUAAAAAAGAAUACAUCAAAUUUAGUAUAGUUGAGUAAAUAUGUUGAAACAAAUAAAAUAUUUCUGACUAAAAAAUUAUUAGAAUGUGACCUCUGAAUGUCAAAAAAAAAAUAAAAUAUUUUAAUAAAUAUUUUUAAAUAUAGAGUAUAAUAAUUAAUUUUAAAAAAAAUGAUAUAUAAAAAAAAAAAAACAAAUCAUAGAAAGAAUCUUUGAGUCCCUACCUAUCAAGCAAGAUCAACUAGAGUGCGUCAUCCAUCGAAGUUGACACUAGUAAGUGCUAAUUAACUUCGACACCUUCACAAGGCUUUGCCUUGUUCAUU